AGUCCACUCAUUUCAGCACCUGCGACAUCAUUCGAACCCAUCACGCACCCUGGAACCUGUGCCCAAAUGUGCCCGUGGAGUCUGCUGCCCAGAGUGUUUUUCCAGCCCUGAAACAUCCCCUGUUACCCAGCCUACCUGCGUCUGUGAUGGCGGUGGGAACGGAAGCAGAACCUUUGUUUCAGUGGCAGAGAUGCUGGCCCCAGCAACCCGUGCUCCACUUGGACAGCAGGCAGCUGCCUCCCUCAGGCAAGCCAGCCUUCCCAGGGCGUCCUUUUUCUGUGCUUGACCUUGAGGCCCAGCUCUCGUGGGCACAGGGGCUGAGCCUCCUUUCAGCACCAGGGCAGGCCAGGGAGCUGCUUUUUAACAGGGUUUCGAUGGACCUGUCUUCUUCUUAAGAACUCCUGCUGCAGAAUUACAAUUGUGUCUCCGUCCCAGACUGAAUCCAGUGCUAAUGUAGCCAAAGAUGUUUUCUCUGAUCAAAGGAAGGAAGGCAAGGAGUCUUCCCCCUUGUCUGUGUGCCCUGCUGCUUCCUGACAGAUUGCUGUGUGCUCCUCCAGGGAUGGCCCUUAGCUGGGGAACCUCCUGUCCCUCACAGGAGGGAUUCCCCACAGCCCACGUUUGUGUCUGAAUGCCAGACCAUGACGACUUGUACAGAAACCCACCCAGUGGGCUGUGCAAGUCUGAGCUCCCCUGGUAUUUCUUGUGUGUGUGAGAGAGAGAGAGAAUUUGAAUUAACUAAUAAAUAAAGAAGAUAUUUUAUUCUCCACUUUGGCCGCUUCUGGAAUACUCGAGAUCCACAGCUUAGAACAGUGCCCACGGGCCGAGGAGGCAGGGCAGCAGCAGGCAGGCCUAGUGGAGAGGGAAAAGGCCUGUAUCUUACCAGCAGCUCCCGUCUCUGACCAGGGACUGCCUGCACACUAACGUGAUUCCGAGUGGUCUGGAGCGGAGGCCUUUGGCCAAGUGUGUGCGCGAGACCUCCGUCCAUCUGGCCCAGAGGACGCAGAAUCUGAUCCUACCAGCCCAUGGGCUCUGGUCCUGGGCCUUGGAUACCGGUAAAAGCCAUCCUCCAUUAAUUUUUGAAACAACCCAAAAUCAGAAUCGUCGCCAGGCCAAACACUGCACCAGUGGGUAGCUAGUGAAAGGCGGGCGAUGAGUCAGCCCUGGGGACCGCCCUGCCCUCCUGGGUCCUGCCUGGCCCGUCUCAUUCUGUCCUCGGCCUUCAGGCCGGCUCAUGCCCCUGCCCCAGGUCUGGGUCCUGGACAGAAGUUCCUGCUUGAGCUCCCCCCGGCAGACCAGGAAGGCUUCUGACGGCUCCAGAUGAAGUCAGCGGCAUGCCCGGGAAGGAGGGGGUGGGAAAAAAAAAGAAAAAGAAAAAAAAGGCGAAACCACAGGCUUUGUUCCAAAGUGGCAUGCAGAAGAUUUGGUGUAAUUAUUUUAAUUGGUAUGAGUGUUGGAGUAUUUCUCUCCACUCAACGUCAGGUACCUAAUUAUAUUUCCAUUGUGUGCUGAAGUCAAUAUUGUCAAGCUAUCCUCGGCGCUAAUCCUCCACAUUGAGGGUUGAUGGGCCGAGGGAAAUCCUGCCUUCAGCAGCUUGUUGUCAGGCCGUCAGUCAGCUCACCCUGGCAGCGGGGCCCCAGCAGGGCCCAAAGCAAACAGCACUCAGGGCUCCCAAGACAUGGAUGGGACCCUACUUGUCAGGGAACAAAGGAGAGUUCUUUCCUCCCUAAUGGGUAUAAUGAAACCCUUAAGACACGUCAAUAGAAAAGCCCGAGUAGUAGGCAGUGAACUCCCAGACUCAGGCAGACUCUCCAAUUAAGAUGCCAAACUGAUGGGGAGGCUAAGCCCACUGUCCCCCUCUUCCAAGUCAGAUAAUAAGAUUAUCAUGUCUCAUUUACCACAUGGCUAAAAAUACAUCGAGUGCCAAAGGGUUGGGGAGGGAGAGAAGGCCCGCUUCCAGCCACCCCCCUCCCAGAUAACACGGCCAGGCCAGCCCAGCCCUGUCAGAGAAGCCGCGGGCUCUUCCUGGCCUCAGAGGCAAAAGCCAGCUUGCAGAUUCCCACACCAGAACCCAGGGCAGCGUCCAGAGGGUGUCCGGCCCUGCCCUGGCACAAGCCACCACCAGCGGCAUGGGGAGGGGCCCUUUGGAGGGGCUGGGGGCAAGUUCUGUUGGGCCUUCCGGUCCCUGAGGGAUGGCCAUUUGUCACCGCUGUGAAAGUUCCGUUCACUUCUGAGCAGAAAGCACACCGAGGCCAGGGAUCCCCAGGGGGCUGUGGCCACGCAGAUGUGUUCCUGCCAGGGUCUGGCUUCCCCUGAGCCAUCCAGCAGAUCCCAGAGUCAUAGUCCAGGACUGGAAGGGACUUUGGACACCAUCGAGCCCAUCCCCCCUGUAUUUUACAGAUGAGGAAACUGAGGCCCUGGGAGAUGAAACUGUUUGCCCACAGUCACAUAGGUAACAAAAGACGAAGAUGUUAUUCGAACCCAGGUUCUUUGGCCUUUGUUUUUUGUUGUUGUUCUUUGACCUUUGAACCGAACUCUUUGCACCAUACUGCAAGGUCCGAGGACGAGUAAGAGCUGGGCCUCUCAGGCUGGAUUCACACAGAAGCGCCAUCCGCCAUCCUGAGUCCAGGCAGAUUGUCUCUGUCCCCUGUGAAUUGCACACAUUCAUCCGGUGUGGCGCCCCGUGGACCUGCAGUCACCACCUUCCUCUCCAGCCUCUCUCAGCAGUGACCUCAGACAAGCUAGCCAGCCAGCCUUUUCCACCUUCCAGUUCGAGCUGUGGACCAAAAGGCCCCUAGUGUACGUGUUAAUUAUAUGGGAGGGAGAGUGCCGAUCCCGGCCUCAGCAACGGCUGACACCAGCCUCGUCCAAAGGCCAUCUCCAGGUGGAACAAGCACCUCAUCCCUGGGAGCCCGGAGCUGGCCAGGAGGCUUCCUUCCAAAGCCUGGUUGCAUCAGUCACAAGUCUGAUGGGAAAAGUGGAUUCCCCCUGCGGGGGAAGGAGAAGCGGUGGAGACGGGGUCAUGUUGAGACAAGGUGCCUGCCUCGUUGCCAAGGGGGAGGCCUCGGAGCCCGCAGCCUGUCAGAGCUGGCAUCUUAGAGGAAAAUGUGAUCCCAACCCAAAGGGUUUGGUUUCAGCUGCGCUGGCUCGGCAGCGGGUGGAGACGCCUCCCCCAGCCGGCCCCUGAGAAUGGACCCCGGACUUCUGGGCCCAGGCAGCGGUUCCUGGGGCGCUCCCCAACCCCCGAGAGCUUAGCGAGGCCCUAGAGGCCGUUCCUCUCAUUUUAGAGGGGGAAACUGAGGCUCUGCCUGGGUGAGCCAGGCCCCGUGAGGCAGAGGGAGAGCCCGGGGCCCCUUGAUCUUUCCAUAAUGCCCCACCAAGUUGGAUGUGGGUGUCCACCAACCCCCUGCCUUGGCUUUCCAGAAGGUGCAGGGGCAGAAGCAUGACUCCUGGCCUUUGAAGGCCUCUGGUCCUUGGGUCACCUCGAGCGUGGGCUUGUUCAGAGACACCGAGGGCUGUGGGCGUGAAAGCAGGUGUGGGCAGCUCUAAGUCAAGGGUUCAAAUCCAGCCUCAGACACUUCCUAGCUGUGUGACCCUGGGAAGUCCCUUAACCUCUGUCUGCCUCAGU